UACGGAGGGUGCAAGCGUUAUCCGGAUUCACUGGGUUUAAAGGGUGCGUAGGUGGGCCUGUAAGUCCGCGGUGAAAUCUCCGAGCUUAACUUGGAAACUGCCAUGGAUACUAUAGGUCUUGAAUACUGUGGAGGUCAGCGGAAUAUGUCAUGUAGCGGUGAAAUGCUUAGAUAUGACAUAGAACACCAAUCGCGAAGGCAGCUGGCUGCACAAAUAUUGACACUGAGGCACGAAAGCGUGGGGAUCAAACAGG
rnacentral:rRNA from 1 species